GGAAAUUCUUGAGCACUGACUAUUCACAAAUACUCUUCAAAGUGGCAACACUCAUCAGAGAGCUUGUCCUCCAUGUCCUUGUUGUCGUGACACUUCAUGAGCCGCAUCGGCCCCCUUGGCCAUUCUCCACGAUGUCUGGGGCCUCAGCUGGGGCCUCAGACAGGCUGAGACCUAGAACCAUCCAAAGGCUUGCCUGUGUUUGCGGCGGCUGCUGCUGUCAGGUGGGACUUUCAGCCAGAACCCUAUGCAUGGCCUGAGCAUCGCCUCAGCAUGGGGGCCUCAGUGAGGUCAUCCUGCUCAGGGAUCCCAGCUGCAGGUAGAAAUGGCCUCAGAUUCUAUGAGCUAGCUUUGGAAACCGCGUGCGACACUUUUGCUACACUCUUGACGGUAAACAAGUUCCCGGCUGGUCGGGAUCAAGGCAAGAGGACUUAGAUCCCACCUCUUGGUGAAGAAUGCCAGGUUCAGGGACAGCAGGUAAGAUUGGAGGUAUUCUUGUGACCACUUUCUGGAAACACAAGCGUCCUGUUUUACUGGAAGAUAUGAGAUGGAGAACAAUGGAAGCUGGAGGAAGUUUCUCAGGAACAGCCAGCAAUGGAGAGGGGUGGGUUUCUGCUACACUGGACCAGGAAGUACCUGUGCAGGACAGGGGCGCAGGGACCCUCGCUGUGGGACACUGCUUGCUGACUCCAUACACUGAUCUGAGCCCUUUUAUUUUUUGAAUAGCUUUAUUCAUUUAUUUAUUUGUGGUUUUGCUGGGUCUCCCUCGCUUGCAGGCUUUUCUCCAGUUGUGGUGAGCGGGGCUGUUCUGUAGUUGUGGCACACAGGCUCUAGGGCCUGAGAGCUUCCGUAAUUGCAGCUCCCAGGCUCCAGAGCACAGGCUCAGUGGUUGUGGUGCACGAGCCUAGUUGCUCUGUGGCGUGUGGGAUCUUCCCAGAUAGGGAUCUAACCCAUGUCUCCUGGACUGGCAGGUGCAUUCUUUACCACGGAGCCACCUUGAACCUAAGCUCUCCCAGUAAGUAGCUGUCAUUUGUCCUCUUGUCAUUCAUUUUGGGCUAAAAAUGCUGCCAUGAAGGAGUGGUGACCGUUCUCUAUCAACGUGCUCUGUGUAGGGCUGCAAACUAGCACAUGCGCAAUAAACAAGGUUGGUGUUACACCCGACUUUCUCAUAACCUUUACUGAGGGCCCCAUACAGCGGACUACUGGGUCCUUUCUCUUCUUCAGACCUAUCUGAAGAUGGACUCUAUAUGGGCAGAAGAUUUCUACCUGACUACUGCCCUGAAGGUUUAAAAGUCUACCUUCACCCUUUCCAGAUUAAGGUUCUAAGUGGAUGCACGUGGAGUGAGCUGGAGGCCACGAGAGGACAGACCACACCAGGCUCUGUGGAAUGGAAUCCUGAAUCCAGCGGUGCUCUGGGCGCUGGAGAACACAGUCGCUUUAAACCGUGUAACCCCAUCACAGAGAAAUGGAAGAAGAAAUUGAGCCUCUGUUGGCCUCUGGAUCUUGGAGUAUGCCCUUCCCACUUUUAUCACUAACCUGGAGAAUUCUGGAGACACUUCGUUUGCAUUUAAAGGAAUGUUUGCAUAGGAGGAGUCUUUCUGAAAUUGUUUGCAUCUGGGGAUUCAAAUUGCCUAAUUGGGUCCAGGAGUACUUUCUUAUUUGUGCGGUGAGGUGGCCUGGAUGGAGCCCACCUGACCUCCUGCCCUGAAGUGGGAUUCGUCUGCUCAGGUUGUCAAGGGUGUGGGAGGGGAUGGUGAGCAUUGCCUGUAGCACAGCAGGGCACUCCAGCUACUCAGGAAGUCCCAGGCUGCCUUUCCAUGUAACUGCGCCAAGGGAAAGCUUCCCAGACCUUUUGGAGUUCAAACAGCUCUUGUAAAAUGGCAUUUUGAUGAGCUGAGCAUAAAUGAAUUGGAAAUGUUCAGAUAAUGUUUCCCCAGGGUUUAAAAACCAAGGAGAAACGUGCUUGGCAAAGGGUCUAAGGGGCUGGGCCAAGAGUUUGAAAAGUGAUUUGAGAUGCUGUGAUGAACCCAAAUUACCACCAGUUUCUCCCAUCUUUGCUGGUGCAGAGGGCCUGAGGGAAGGGGCCUCAGGCAGGAGGAAAGAGCUCCUUUCUCCACCAGGGGGAAGGGAGAGCAGCUUUGACACCAUGGUCAUCUAAAGUGGGGCUUUCUCUAUGGGCUGAGUUUACUAUCAGAUCUGUCUAGCCAUCUCUCCAUCCAUUAUUCCAUCCAUCCUUCCAUCCAUCUAUCCAUCAUUCCAUCCAUCCAUUCAUCCAUCCAUCAUUCCACCCAUCCUUCUGUCCACCUAUCCAUCUAAUGAGUACUUAUUAAGCACGCACUGUGGACAUGACUCUGAGAAGACAGAAGAUAAUGAGCCUCAGUCCCUGACCUUUCAGAUCUCAGAGUUCUGGU
ensembl:lncRNA